rnacentral:rRNA from 1 species
UACGGAGGGGGCAAGCGUUGUUCGGAAUUACUGGGCGUAAAGGGCGCGCAGGCGGCUGCUCAAGUCAGGCGUGAAAGGCCUGGGCUCAACCCGGGAAUUGCGCUUGAGACUGGGCUGGCUUGAGUGCGGGAGAGGAUGGUGGAAUUCCCAGUGUAGAGGUGAAAUUCGUAGAUAUUGGGAAAGAACACCGGUGGCGAAGGCGGCCAUCUGGACCGCAACUGACGCUGAGGCGCGGAAAAGCGUGGGGAGCAAACAGGGAUUAAGAU